rnacentral:lncRNA from 10 species
UGGAACCAGCCAUCAAACGGCCCCAGACACCUGCUACCAGCUUGUUUCCAAGGGGAGAAUAACAGGCUGUCGGUUACAUUCGGUUCUUGAUGGAAGAAGGGCAGUCAGUGUCCCCUGUAAAGAGUGAUCUCUGAUUGACCACUUCAGGAGGGUCCCACCGUCCCCUGUGAUUGGAUGGAGUGUCUCGCAUUUUACAUUGUCCCUGAGAGGAGAGGAGCCCUUUGGAAAAGUCUGAAAAGCUAACAUUGAACUGGGACAUAACAGCAGCCUUGGGACAUCAGAGCCUGCUUGUGCCUGCUCUGCACUAUUGGAUGUUUUUAUGUGUACUACAUUAAGAGCUUCCAUCUCUCUGGACAAAGGGGAGAAGCGCUUCCGUGGUGGGUGGCCCCAAUUAAACCCUGUGCCUAGUGAGUUUCCGCCCAGGCUGACUGGAAGUCAGCCAGGGCUGAUUAGAGAGCAGGUACCUCAAAUGGCCCAGCACGGCCAUAAUGAAAUAGUCCUGGAAAAUUGCUAAAUGACAUAGAGGAAAAUCAUUACAAUUGAAAUGCCUCCCUCCCCCUUACCCUCUAUAACAUAAAGAAACACUUCAGAAUUGCCUAAAUAUUGCUUUGCCCAGUGAGUUAACUGUAUAGUAAAUGAAAGAUCUCUCACAAACACACAGCUUUGAGCAUACUGCUUUAAUUAUGAAAUGUUUAUUUUGUUUAAAAGCACAUAAAGAAGACAAAAACAGAAUAAAGAGGAAACAAAAGCAACUUUCCCCUUCUCCACCCCUAAAAAACAAAUAAAUUGUCACAUACACUAUAGAAUCGACUAGUAGGCUUAAUAUGGAAGGAUUUUAGAUAUUUCUUCACUUAAAAUAGUAAUAAGUAUUUGCUUUUUAUGACAAAAUCAAUACAAGCUCUUCCUGAAAACAUUGAAAAACACAGAAAAGUAUAAUGAGAGACUAAGAAUGGCUCAGGUGCUGUGGCUCAUGCCUGUAAUCCUACCACUGUGGGAGGCCAAGGCAGGAGGAUCCCUUGAGCCCAGGAGUUUGAGACCAGCCUGGGCAGCAUAGUGAGACCCUGUCUCUUUUUUUAAAUUGAAAUGGAGUUUCACUCUUGUUGCCCAGGAUGGAGUGCAAUGGCGCAAUCUUGGCUCAGUGCAACCUCCAUCUCUCGGGUUCAAGCAAUUCUCCUGCCUCAGUCUCCCGAGUAGCUAGGAUUAGAGGCAUGCACCACCAUGCCCAGCUAAUUUUGUAUUUUUAGUAGAGACAGGAUUUCUCCAUGUUGGUCAGGCUGGUCUGGAACUCCCGACCUCAGGUGAUCUGCCCACCUCGGCCUCCUAAAGUGCUGGGAUUAUAGGAGUGAGCCACCGCACCCAGCCUCUGUCUCUUAAAAAAAAAAAAAAGUAACUCCGCAGCCAUUCAUCCACCCCUCAGAAAUAACCAGAGUGAACAUGAUGUGGUAUAUCUUCCUUCUGUAAACACUGUUUUACAUAGUUGAGAAUGCAUUGUGUAUACUUUUGUGUUCUACCUUGACUAGUACUAUAUAUGGAAUAUGUUGCAGAUGUUAAGAUUCCCUGAACAAUUAUCAUUAAUGGCUGGGACAUAAUCCAUUAAAGGAGUGUAACGUAAUGCACUUAGCAAAAAUUUGGAUGUCCCUUUGUCAUGGGGCUACUAAGCUAUGAUAAGCAGUAGCAACAUCUGCACCAUAUAAUGGGGAAAGGAAAUGGGGACUCAUGUUCCAUAGGGUCCCCAAUCCUUCAAUCCUCCACCAACACCGUAAGGGGGUUAUUACUCAUCCACUUUAAUAGAUAAGGAAACUGGGGCUCACUGAUAGGUGAGAUCACUGGCUGAGGUCACAGAGCAAGGAGGCAGAGCCAGGAUGAUGACCUAAGUCUGUCAGAUUCUUUUUUCAUCUGUAUUCCUCAUCCAUGUGUAGACACAGAACAGUGAAGUCAAAAGAGCAUGGUUUUGGAGUCCAGGUAUGAUUUGUCUUAUACCUUGCAAAUGUUAGGUGCCCGAUAAAUACCUGUUGCCUAAAUGCUUUUUAUUCUAAUUAAAAUUUUAUGCAUGCUAUCACUCACAGACCUGGUGAUUCCACCUGCUAAAUGUUACAUUUGGAAGGCCUUAUCUUUUCACAAGCACUACAAUUUAGAAUUCAGCUUUACAUAUGAAGGGUAUCUUAACUUUCAUUGAUAAUGUAGAACCAGGAAAAUAGAAGCAAGACAAGGCAUGACUAUAUCUCAGAAAGUUCCAUAGUAGGGGAGAGAGACCCUAGUUCGGUUUAGAAAUGAAGAGUAGUGAUAACGAUUAAACAUACUCUCAUUCAUUGAUUGCUUCCCUGGAAUGGGGCCAAAUUUUACAUUACCAUUUAAGGAAAAUAAGCAUCAAAUUAGUUUUCUAAUCUGGAAAAUGAAAGCAAGACUGUCUAAUGUGCAAAGAAGUAAUUACCAGCUGACAUAAUUUGGAUAAGAGGCAAUGGUAGAAUAUGAAACUAGAUCUGAGUCUGUUGUAUUCUAGAAACACAUGCUAGGUUCAUCUCCCCGUUCUUUAUUGGGUAGCCUGAGGCAUUGGACCAGUGGGUGUGAACCACCCCCAGUCAUGCCAGCAGUCAUUUCAGGUUUCUAGGUGCUCUAAUGUAGGAAGAGAAGCCCCUUGUACUCCAGGAAACUGCCAACAGAUGUCUGUAUAGCCAUCCCUGAAGGCUUGACCAGAAAACACCUCAGUGGAAAUGGGUUUGGAAGUCAUCCCUAAUAGUCAGAAUUACAUGAAAAAAGUACCUUCACAGUUCACAUGGGCUAUCCCCGUUGCCAGUCACAAGCCUGACCCAAAAUGGCAUGUAUAUGCUUAAAUUCUAGGGAAAAGGAGUUAAAGGAAGCAGAAAUCAAGACAUGCCAGCGGGAGGAGAAAAUUUACGAAGGAAAAAAAACCUUAGAGAGCAAAAAUCAAAGCCAACAACCAUCAAAGGGAUGUAACACAAUGUAAAAUAAACCAUUAAUAGUAUGUGAAAAGGUAGCAUGGAGUAAUAUAAGUUGGUAUGUAUUAAAUUGGAAUAGCUAACUCCUUUGACCCUUACAACAGCCCUCUGAGACAGGUAAUAUAAAUAUGUAAAUGAUUGUUGAUAAACUCCAGGCUAGAGCACAAAAUGCAGUCUCCUUGAAUCUCAUGUUUUGUUUCUUUUUUUGUUUGUUUGUUUUUUAAGACAGGGUCUCACUCCAGUUGCCCAGGCUGGAGUGUGGUAUGCAAUCUUGGCUCACUGCGGCCUGAACCUCCAAGGUUUAGACGAUUCUCCCAUCUCAGCUGAAUCUUUUUUUUUUUUUUUAAUCCUUCUAUAUAAGCCAGAGGACAGCUGAGUUCAUCCUGUCCCUUGAAAUGUGAACACCAUCA